rnacentral:misc_RNA from 1 species
UGAAGUUUUGCUGAAGGUUGGGCGCAAUAUAGAAGCUAAAGAUGCUGCUAGGGGGGCUUUAAAAUCACCAUGGUGGACUUUGGGUUGCGAAUACCAUGAAGUUGCUAAUAUGGCUGAAUGGGAAGAUGAACAAAUUGAGUAUAUCAAAGAGAAAGUAACUGAGGAGGGUAGGGAAGCCGAUCUAAAGAAAGGGAAGCAACCUGCUCAGGUUGCAUUGGAUGAAGCUGCUUUCUUGUUGGAUCUAGCUUCCAUUGACGGUUCAUGGGACGAUUGUGCAGAAAGGAUUGCUGAAUGCUACAAGGAGGCGGGCCUGCAUGAAGUUGCAAACUUUGUGGUUUACAGAGACUGAAAUACCAGCAACUUUGCUGAAUAUUAAACGUCUUACACUACUCCCUAUGAGUCCUAGUAAGUGGCCUAUUCAGUUUUGCCUCCAGCAGAGUGUACUCUAAUUCUUUCCAGAAAAACAAGAAGAGACUUCACAUCAGUCCUUUAAAUAUGCACCCCCUAUUUUGAUCUCCUCUCACACCGGGGUCAAUUGUAAAAGACCAAAAGUAAAUAUGUGUAAUAAGUAACUUGCAUUGAAGUUGAAGCAGGUGCAAAAUGUGUCACGAUCCAAACAUAUGUUUAGCAU